UACAGAGGGUGCGAGCGUUAAUCGGAAUUACUGGGCGUAAAGGGCGCGUAGGCGGGCUGAUAAGUCAGAUGUGAAAGUCCUGGGCUUAACCUGGGGAUUGCAUUUGAAACUGUCAGUCUGGAGUGAAGUAGAGGGUGGCGGAAUUUCCGGUGUAGCGGUGAAAUGCGUAGAUAUCGGAAGGAACACCAGUGGCGAAGGCGGCCACCUGGACUUUAACUGACGCUGAGGCGCGAAAGCGUGGGGAGCGAACAGG
rnacentral:rRNA from 1 species